rnacentral:rRNA from 1 species
AAUCAACGCUGGCGGCGUGCCUAACACAUGCAAGUCGAACGAGAAAGUGGAGCAAUCCAUGAGUACAGUGGCGACCGGGUGAGUAACACGUGACUAACCUACCCUAGAGUGGGGGAUAACUCCGGGAAACCGGGGCUAAUACCGCAUAACAUCACGAGGGGAAGUUCCUUGUGAUCAAAGAAGCAAUUCGCUGAAGGAGGGGGUCGCGCCUGAUUAGCUAGUUGGUGAGGUAACGGCUCACCAAGGCUAAGAUCAGUAGCCGGCCUGAGA